rfam:Escherichia coli ISC11, WGS project CBWP01000000 data, contig: c25
ACAACGUGAUGGGAAGCGGCAUGCUUCCCGUGUAUGAUUGAACCCGCAUGGCGCCCGCAUUGUUCGGGUUAGCGCUGAGGGUUCAUUUUUAU